CGACCGGCGCACGGGUGAGUAACACGUAUCCAACCUGCCGAUGACUCGGGGAUAGCCUUUCGAAAGAAAGAUUAAUACCCGAUGGCAUAGUUCUUCCGCAUGGUAGAACUAUUAAAGAAUUUCGGUCAUCGAUGGGGAUGCGUUCCAUUAGCUUGUUGGCGGGGUAACGGCCCACCAAGGCAUCGAUGGAUAGGGGUUCUGAGAGGAAGGUCCCCCACAUUGGAACUGAGACACGGACCAAACUCCUACGGGAGGCAGCAG
rnacentral:rRNA from 1 species